rnacentral:rRNA from 1 species
GACGAACGCUGGCGGCGUGCCUAAUACAUGCAAGUCGAACGCUGAAGGAGGAGCUUGCUUCUCUGGAUGAGUUGCGAACGGGUGAGUAACGCGUAGGUAACCUGCCUGGUAGCGGGGGAUAACUAUUGGAAACGAUAGCUAAUACCGCAUAAUAUUGACUAUUGCAUGAUAGUCAGUUGAAAGGUGCAACUGCACCACUACCAGAUGGACCUGCGUUGUAUUAGCUAGUUGGUGGGGUAACGGCUCACCAAGGCGACGAUACAUAGCCGACCUGAGAGGGUGAUCGGCCACACUGGGACUGAGACACGGCCCAGACUCCUACGGGAGGCAGCAGUAGGGAAUCUUCGGCAAUGGACGGAAGUCUGACCGAGCAACGCCGCGUGAGUGAAGAAGGGUUUCGGAUCGUAAAGCUCUGUUGUAAGAGAAGAACGAGUGUGAGAGUGGAAAGCUCACACUGUGACGGUAUCUUACCAGAAAGAGACGGCUAACUACGUG